AGUGAACGCUGGCGGUAGGCCUAACACAUGCAAGUCGAACGGCAGCACAGUAAGAGCUUGCUCUUACGGGUGGCGAGUGGCGGACGGGUGAGGAAUACAUCGGAAUCUACUUUUUCGUGGGGGAUAACGUAGGGAAACUUACGCUAAUACCGCAUACGACCUACGGGUGAAAGUAGGGGAUCUUCGGACCUUGCGCGGUUGAAUGAGCCGAUGUCGGAUUAGCUAGUUGGCGGGGUAAAGGCCCACCAAGGCGACGAUCCAUAGCUGGUCUGAGAGGAUGAUCAGCCACACUGGAACUGAGACACGGUCCAGACUCCUACGGGAGGCAGCAGUGGGGAAUAUUGGACAAUGGGCGCAAGCCUGAUCCAGCCAUACCGCGUGGGUGAAGAAGGCCUUCGGGUUGUAAAGCCCUUUUGUUGGGAAAGAAAAGCAGCAGGUUAAUACCCCGCUGUUCUGACGGUACCCAAAGAAUAAGCACCGGCUAACUUCGUG
rnacentral:rRNA from 1 species